AGGAGGUUCUGGAACCACUGGAUCUGGGUGUCGAGGGGGCCGUUGUUCCAGAUCUUGUCGCCGACGCCGAGGGACUGGAAGAAGCUGGAGCCCAUGGCGGUGGCGCCGAUGAUGGCCAUGUUGGCGCCCUUCUUGAAGUCGGCUGACCCUUGCUUCGACGGCGGCAGCAGCGGCAGCCCGAACCUCUCAGCUGCACAAUCCAACAAAACAAAAACAGAGCUUCAACAUCACGCCACAUGUGGAAAACUCUGUUUUUAGUUCAAAAACAGAGUAUGUGCUCUGUUUUCAAUGCAAACAAGAAACAAAGUGCGAACCGAGGAAGUCGACGACAAGGCGGCCGUCGGAGCAGCGGCAGGUGGCGCGGCCGAAGAAGGUCUCGCCGUAGGGGGGCUGCGUCAGGGUAAGCCCGGCGGGGGCGCCAUUGACGCAGAGGUUGCCGGUGUCGGACAUGGAGU
rnacentral:lncRNA from 1 species